rnacentral:rRNA from 1 species
UACGGGAGGCAGCAGUGGGGAAUAUUGCACAAUGGGCGCAAGCCUGAUGCAGCCAUGCCGCGUGUAUGAAGAAGGCCUUCGUGUUGUAAAGUACUUUCAGUCGUGAGGAAGGUGUUAAGGUUAAUAACCUUAGCAAUUGACGUUAGCGACAGAAGAAGCACCGGCUAACUCCGUGCCAGCAGCCGCGGUAAUACGGAGGGUGCGAGCGUUAAUCGGAAUUACUGGGCGUAAAGGGCACGCAGGCGGUUAAUUAAGUUGGAUGUGAAAUCCCCGGGCUAACCUGGGAAUGGCAUUCAAGACUGGUUAGCUAGAGUCUUGUAGAGGGGGUAGAAUUCCAUGUGUAGCGGUGAAAUGCGUAGAGAUGUGGAGGAAUACCGGUGGCGAAGGCGGCCCCUGGGACAAAGACUGACGCUCAUGUGCGAAAGCGUGGGGAGCAAACAGGGAUUAGAUACC